ACCCACGUGACUCGUCAUCUCUUCCCGCUUGUCGCACUGUCUUCUGCUCGAUCCGUGAAAGGUAUUUCCGUUACAGACUUUUUGUUAACAGAUGGAUAUCAAGAAAGAGAUCAGAGAUUUUAGUGAAAAAGGAAGGAAGCUAGUAAAUGAAGGACAUUAUCUUGAAGCAAUUAGAAUGUAUGAAGAAGCUAGACAGAUAGCAGAACAACACUUAGAAGUAACAGAUGGACUGAGACUGGGAG